rnacentral:rRNA from 1 species
CCUACGUGCGGCAGCAGUGAGGAAUAUUGGUCAAUGGGCGCGAGCCUGAACCAGCCAAGUAGCGUGAAGGAUGACUGCCCUACGGGUUGUAAACUUCUUUUAUAAAGGAAUAAAGUGAGGCACGUGUGCCUUUUUGUAUGUACUUUAUGAAUAAGGAUCGGCUAACUCCGUGCCAGCAGCCGCGGGAAUACGGAGGAUCCGAGCGUUAUCCGGAUUUAUUGGGUUUAAAGGGAGCGUAGAUGGGUUGUUAAGUCAGUUGUGAAAGUUUGCGGCUCAACCGUAAAAUUGCAAUUGAUACUGGCAGUCUUGAGUACAGUUGAGGUAGGCGGAAUUCGUGGUGUAGCGGUGAAAUGCUUAGAUAUCACGAAGAACUCCGAUUGCGAAGGCAGCUUACUAAACUGCCACUGACAUUGAUGCUCGAAAGUGUGGGUAUCAAACAGGAUUAGAUACCCCAGUAGUC